rnacentral:tRNA from 1 species
GGGGCUGUAGCUCAGUGGCAGAGCGCUUGCCUAGCAUGCAUGAGGCACUAGGUUUGAUCCCUCAGCACCA